CCAUGGACCCCGAAAGACAACAAUUUCUUAUAUUUCCCAAUAUCAGAGUUUAGGAUAUUUUUCUUCUUCCCAGGGGCAAGGGCUCAGGUUACAUUCGCGAGCAGAGCGGAGCGCGGGAGAGAGGACCCGAGAGCAGAGCUGCUGCUUCGGCGCUGGUCAGCGGGCACCCUAAGGCCCCAGAGUUCCCACCCAGCACCACCCAGACCCCACCCCCGCCCUGCGCCAGCCUGUGCCCCAGCCAAGGACCCCCAACACCAGCAUGGACUGCUGCACCGAAAGCGCGUGCUCCAAGCCGGACGACGACAUUCUAGACAUCCCGCUGGACGAUCCCGGCGCCAACGCAGCCGCGGCCAAAAUCCAGGCGAGUUUCCGGGGCCACAUGGCGCGGAAGAAGAUAAAGAGUGGAGAGCGCGGCCGGAAGGGCCCGGGCCACGGGGGAACGGGCGGAGCUGGGGGCGCCCGGGGAGGCGCGGGCGGCGGCCCCAGCGGAGACUAGGCCAGAACUGAGCAUUUUCAAAGCCUGCGGGUUUUCUGGUGCAUCAGGACGCCUGAGGCUGCGACAGGGACACACCUGGACCAACACAGAACCGCAGCCACCCCCAUUUGGCUGCACAAACCCGGCCUGAGGCGAUAAACACACUGCGGCGCACACACGCACCCGCUUAUUUCAGCUCAGUGACUCGGUUGCCGAGGAGAGAUGGAUGCCGCGUCCCCUUCGCAGUGACGAGACUUCCCUGCCGUGUUUGUGAUCCUCUCCUUCCCACCAGCCUGCCAGCUUCAGGAGCCCUCCCUGCGUCCCCAGAGACCCCCUCUCCCAGGCAGGCUCCGUCGAGGAGUCGCUAAGUCCGUGCCCUUUUAGUUAGUCCUCCAGUCUAAUAUGGUCCCCAUUCCCCCUUCCUUCCCACCCUAGCCCCAAACCCCGCGCUCUCACGUCUUCCUUCUUUUGCUUCUCGCCCACCUCUGCCCGCACCCGGCAUGCAGCUCUGCCCCCGCAGCCUCCGUGCACUUCCCUGCGCGCACUGCGGAGGGCGCCCUAAGCGUCGCCCAAGUACACUCACUUAAAAAAAAAAACAAACAAAGGUCCUUUCGUUCUGUGCGCAGAUAAAGGGGGCGCUCUGCGUCUCUGUGCUGUUCGCGCCCCAGCCUGACCCCAGAACUUUGGCUCUGGGGUGACGAGAGAGGGAAACAGGGUUUUUAUGUUGUUGGAUACCUCCUGCUCUGAUUGUAAGGAAAGUACCUAUUGCUCCGAUCGUAAGGGAAGUACCUAUUUCGCACCCCAACCCCACACCUGCCUGUAAUCUGCUUCCCCUCUCCCCAGCGCACCCUGAGAGCCGCCUCUCCAGCUCUCAUCUUGUUUAUGCAAACGCCGAGCGCCUGGUAGGCUCGGUGGGAGGAGUCUGCCGCGGCCCCGCCCCUGCCCCUACUAGCCCCGCCCCCCGCCGGGCUCCUGGGGCUGUGGCCCGAAGGAUUUUUAUCUCCGUGUGUGCAUGUGACCGUGCUGGGUUGGAAUGUGAACAAUAAAGAGGAAUGUCCAAGUA